rnacentral:rRNA from 1 species
AAUCAACGCUGGCGGCGUGCCUAACACAUGCAAGUCGAACGAGAAAGGGGAGCAAUCCCUGAGUAAAGUGGCGACCGGGUGAGUAACACGUGACCAACCUACCUUCGAGUGGGGGAUAACCUCGGGAAACCGGGGCUAAUACCGCAUAACCUCCUCGGGACGGAAGUCCUGGGGGGCAAAGGAGCAAUUCGCUUGAAGAGGGGGUCGCGGCCGAUUAGUUAGUUGGCGGGGUAACGGCCCACCAAGACGAAGAUCGGUAGCCGGCCUGAG